ensembl:snRNA U6 U6 spliceosomal RNA
GUGCUUGCUUUGGCAGCACAUGUACUGGAACUGGGGCAAUACAGAGAAGAUUAGAAUGGCCCCUGUAGAAAGAUGACAUAAAAAUUCGUAAAGGUGUCUUCUUUCUU